rnacentral:rRNA from 1 species
CCUACGGGAGGCAGCAGUGAGGAAUAUUGGUCAAUGGGCGCGAGCCUGAACCAGCCAAGUCGCGUGAGGGAGUACUGCCCUAUGGGUUGUAAACCUCUUUUGUCGGGGAGCAAAAGCCGGACGUGUCCGGCUGUGAGAGUACUCGAAGAAAAAGCAUCGGCUAACUCCGUGCCAGCAGCCGCGGUAAUACGGAGGAUGCGAGCGUUAUCCGGAUUUAUUGGGUUUAAAGGGUGCGCAGGCGGAUUUUUAAGUCAGCGGGAAAAUCGUGGGGCUCAACCCCAUCCAGCCGUUGAAACUGGGGAUCUAGAGUGUGCGAGAGGUAUGCGGAAUUCGUGGUGUAGCGGUGAAAUGCAUAGAUAUCACGCAGAACCCCGAUUGCGAAGGCAGCAUACCGGUGCACAACUGACGCUCAGGCACGAAAGCGUGGGUAUCGAACAGGAUUAGAUACCCCAGUAGUC